UGUGUAUCAGUACAUGGCAUAUCAAUAAGCGGAGGAAAAGAAACUAACAAGGAUUCCCUUAGUAACGGCGAGUGAAGCGGGAAGAGCUCAAAUUUGAAAUCUUCAAGGUUUUACCUUGACGAAUUGUAGUUUAAAGAAGUGUUUUCUGUUGAAGUUUUGGUAAAAGUUCUUUGGAAUAGGACAUCAUAGAGGGUGAGAAUCCCGUAUUUGACCAUUAUUUUCAGCUGUGUGAUACACUUUCAAAGAGUCGGAUUGUUUGGGAAUGCAGUCCAAAAUGGGUGGUAAAUUUCAUCUAAAGCUAAAUAUUGGCGAGAGACCGAUAGCGAACAAGUACCGUGAGGGAAAGAUGAAAAGAGCUUUGAAAAGAGAGUUAAACAGUACGUGAAAUUGUCAAAAGGGAAGCGUUUGACACCAGUGUUGUUUUCUCGAAAAUCGAUUAAAAAAGGCCGGAUUUUGUGUUGUAUUGACCUUAAAAGCUUUCUUCACUCUUUUCUUGUCUUUUUUAAUGCACUUUUCGUUUAACAAGUCAACAUCAGUUUCUUUUGUUGUAAAAGGGUCAUUGGAAGGUGGCUUUCUUUUCGGAGAAAGUGUUUAUAGCCUUUGAUCUCUGCAACCGGAGAGACUGAGGUCUGCAGCGUAGACUCUUCGGGGUUAGAUACAUUUGUGCUAAGCUAUAGCUUUUUAUAGGACAACUUGUUGACUAUAUUUAGUCUUGUGGCUUACUCGCUUAUGCUAUUUUACCUACGCUUAGGAUGUUGACAGCAGUAUAGACUGU
rnacentral:rRNA from 1 species